rnacentral:rRNA from 1 species
GUGUCAGCAGCCGCGGUAAUACGGAGGGUGCGAGCGUUGUCCGGAAUCACUGGGCGUAAAGGGCGCGUAGGCGGCCCGUUAAGCGUGUGGUGAAAGCCCGGGGCUCAACUCCGGGUCGGCCAUGCGAACUGGCGGGCUCGAGCACUGUAGAGGCAGGUGGAAUUCCGGGUGUAGCGGUGGAAUGCGUAGAGAUCCGGAAGAACACCGGUGGCGAAGGCGGCCUGCUGGGCAGUAGCUGACGCUGAGGCGCGACAGCGUGGGGAGCAAACAGGAUUAGAAACCCCCGUAGUCC